UGUAGCAAUACAUUGCUGGCGACCGGCAAACGGGUGCGGAACACGUACGCAACCUUCCUUUAAGUGGGGAAUAGCCCAGGGAAACUUGGAUUAAUACCUCGUAACAUUAUGAGACGGCAUCGUUUUAUAAUUAUAGCUCCGGCGCUUAAAGAUGGGCGUGCGCCUGAUUAGGUAGUUGGCGGGGUAACGGCCCACCAAGCCUUCGAUCAGUAACUGGUGUGAGAGCACGACCAGUCACACGGGCACUGAGACACGGGCCCGACUCCUACGGGAGGCAGCAGUAAGGAAUAUUGGUCAAUGGACGCAAGUCUGAACCAGCCAUGCCGCGUGGAGGAUGAAGGUCCUCUGGAUUGUAAACUUCUUUUAUUUGGGAAGAAACCCAUGUUUUCUAAUGUGGUUGACGGUACCAGAUGAAUAAGCACCGGCUAACUCCGUGCCAGCAGCCGCGGUAAUACGGAGGGUGCAAGCGUUAUCCGGAUUCACUGGGUUUAAAGGGUGCGUAGGCGGGUUGGAAAGUCCGUGGUGAAAUCCCCAAGCUUAACUUGGGAACUGCCGUGGAUACUCUCAAUCUUGAAUAUCGUGGAGGUAAGCGGAAUAUGUCAUGUAGCGGUGAAAUGCUUAGAUAUGACAUAGAACACCAAUUGCGUAGGCAGCUUACUACA
rnacentral:rRNA from 1 species